AGUCGAUGAAAGCCCUCGUGCAGGCUCGCUCAGCCAUAACGAGAGCCUCCUCAUGCCGAUUCAUUGACACCAGUACACGCUGUCAUAAGGAGAUUAUAUAAAAUUUCCACCCUGAUCCAGCAGACUUAUCACGAGAAAAGUUGAAUCCCCACUACACGAGAGUGCCUGCAUGUCAACUUCACCACAUGGAAACUGUGCCUUUGUAGUUCUUGGGGUUAUUUCGGGAGACUUUUUUCCUAUAUUCCUAUGUAACCCCUAUUCUGGCCCUGUCCUGGUCAGGGGGCUUAAGGUUUGAACAAACUUGUAGAAGGAAUAUUUCAUGUAAGUUUGGCCUUUUCUGGUAGAGUGGCUCUUGAGAAAAUUAUAUUUUAUGAACGUAUGUCCUUAAUUUUCAAUAUUUCUUAAUUAUUUGAACAAACUUGAAUCACCUUUCCCAAAGGCCAUUUUAUUGCAGCUUUUAUUAACGUUAGCCUAGUGGUUCUGAGGAAGAAGUCACAAAUGUCAAAAGUUAACAAUCAACAUAUGACUCAGAUUUGUAACAGGAGGGGAGAAAAUGCAGCAGACCAGACUGGCAUGGGAUUCAAAUCUGGGCCCUUUGAAUCUCUGGUCAGAUGCUCUACCAACAGAGCUAUCUGGCCAUUGGCGAGUGAACCCAUCUGACAGCCACAUUCUUCCUUCCUUAAAUUCCUUCAUACCUUGAAGAACAUCAACCCAGGAUCUUUAUCCCCUAGCAGGUAUUUUCACCUGUCAGUUCCAGGGGUUGGUCUAUGGCACCAAAUGUAACAUUGGAAAUGAGAAAAUGUAUGGUUGGACCGGGAAUCGAACCUAGGACUCCUGCAUUACUAGUCAGGUGCUCUAACCACUGAACUAUACCCAUGCCCUUAUCCACGGUCCAUAUAAGUCCUAACGACUACAUUUACACUAUUUUUACAUACCUUUGAGUGGAGACUUGAGUGCUGCGUCAAUAAGACCCGUUAUGAGGGUAUCAAAAUAUUAAUGUGCGUCUCUUCCAUCACAUAAUGAAAAGUUACAUCCAUGAACUGCAAUUUCAUGCAUCCAUAUCAUGACAGGAUUAACCUCAUUCCGGACAAUGAUUAACAAACAGGAAGACAAGAACAGUGACCAGGCACCUGUAACUGGACAGUCAUGUCCAAUCUCCAUCAUAAAGCUGUCAGAAAUUGUCCACCAUGGUGAACCUGAUUCAUGUUUUCCCAUCAGUUCUCUGUGUGGACCCACUGUUCCACAGUGUCAUUCAUACAAGACCAUCAAGACCCGCACAACACCAGUUUUUAUUGACCAAUCAAAUAGGGUGUUAUCUGCAGAGGUGUUCUCCAAACAAUGUCUGGAUGAUGGUCUGAAGACCACAAAAACCAUAUGUCCUGUUAUAUUGUAGGACAAUUGCUCCCAUAAAAGAACUCCCUACAUUGUGUACAUAUUUUAAUGAUCUGCAAAUAUCAAUAUUAUUGCACAUGCCAUUAAUGACAAGAUCCAUCUUGCUGUUACCCAUUAAUCAGUUCAAUAUGUGUACCUUAACCUUUUAGGACAAAAUGUUGCUAAAGCAGUGACUCAUUUCUUCAAUAUUUUCAUUUAACAGAUUGUGACAGCCAUUUUUACCUCAACAACUUACAAAACAAAAGGAUAGUGACAAGUAAAAGAUAAACAGCUGUGUUGCAAUCAUGUAUUAGAGAUCAAAAGGUCCAAUAACUAAAUCUAUCAUCAUCAUGGUCAUCUUUAAAUAUAUAGUUUCAAAAGAUCAAGUUGCAUUACUGCAAGCUGUUGUAGGUCGAAAACUCAAAACACCUUUCAAAAUCCAUAUAUUUGUGCAAACUAGUUGGAAAAAUCAACAAGGUGAAAAGAGCUCAAAUCAUCUGUAUUAAAUUUCUAGUGCAAUUUACCAUAGCUUUUUUCACCACAAAAGAGGAUACACCUAUAUAACUGCCACCCAUGACUUUUUUUUCUUUUCAUUGCUAACAGAGCACACAAAAAAUCAUUAUAAAAUGAUUGGAUCUAUAUCAGACAAAUAGGAAUGGAAUACAAAAUAAUCUAAAACUUGAAUCACAAUGAAAAGAUCAAGGCAGUGCACAGUCUUCUUUAAACUGAUAGGUAUAAAAAAAGAAAUUUCAGCAACAUUAGGCACAUGCCAUAAAAGUAUAACCUCAGUGAACCAGCCGAACUUGUACAAGAACAUACCACAAAGAUCCCAAACAAAGUUCCAACACUGAGAAGCUGUAGAAAACAAGUAGGUCAGAGACAUUUCAAUUAAUACUUUCACAGACUACAAGAACAAGCAGCCAAUUCAACCUUGUGUGCACCGUGUCUUCGAAUUCGCCAAGUGACAACUGAGCUAGUUCUCUCUACUCCAUUUGAUGGAUGGCACAGAAUGAAUUUAAGAAAGUUACACAACCUCUAGACAUGUUGUGACUCUAUUCAAACAUGCAAAAUAUUAAAAGAUAUUGUCUCAAACUACAUUAAUUAUUCUCAAUUAGUCAUACAGUAUGCAAGCAGUCUAAAUAGCAACCAGAUAAUGUCUUAAGAAUGAACCAAUUUGCAUUUCUCCUAAAGAAUCACCUGAUGAUUCAAACAUUAAUUUUCUUACUAUUGUAUAUCAAAAAUUUAUUUACACAUUAUCCAUGCUUUAUCUAUGCAAUGUACAUUAUUA